UACGGAGGUUGCAAGCGUUGUUCGGAAUAACUGGGCGUAAAGGGAGCGCAGGCGGUCUCGUAAGUCUAAAGUGAAAUGCCAGGGCUCAACCUUGGACGUGCUUUGGAUACUGCAAGACUUGAGUACGUGAGAGGAGAGUGGAAUUCCAGGUGUAGCGGUGAAAUGCGUAGAUAUCUGGAGGAACACCGGUGGCGAAAGCGGCUCUCUGGCACGUUACUGACGCUGAGGCUCGAAAGCGUGGGGAGCGAAC
rnacentral:rRNA from 1 species